GAACCAGCCAUUAUCCUGUGAUGAAUACGUUUCAGAGUGUCUUCUGUGAAUGAUCAUGCUCUGCAUUACCACAGUUGAGAUGAUUUAAUCUAUAUUUUGCUCUUAAAAAACCCAUUUUCAGGUUUUCACGGAAUAUGUUCCCAUGAUCCGGUUUUUCUAAGCGGUCACACGGCGGGGGAUAUCAGAAUAUGGCUGAGGGCAUGUUCAUGUCAAAGGCUUGGUGCUGGCACCAGAUGAUCAGAAACAUGCGCAAUUCUAGUGCUCCCAUCUCACCAAAAAUAACAAACAAACAAAAAAAAAAACAGAUAUAUGGAAUUUAGAAGUAAAAUACAGACUACAAGCCACACAACUGCUACAUUCCAGGGCUCUGAGACUGAGUUAGUAUCUGAAUAUAAACACGCAGUGAUUAUAACUGAUGCCUUUUCUCUUUUUCACUGUAUAUUCAAGCAACUGGUGGAGAAACGUCCCCCGCUGUCCUUUGAGGCAAGAAAGAGACUUGUGGCUUCCACUUUAACGUCAGUUUUGGAUUAAGAUUUCUCCACAGGCUCCGGGGGGGAAGCAGGAGCAUCAGUGAUACACUGCCGCGCGCUCCGCUGCAGGAGGCUGGACGUCAAUCACACGGGUAACCUAGGGAACCGCUGAGCCCGCCCCCUGGACGACCCUGAUUGGUCGUCAGUCAGAGAACCAGAAGUCACAAGUCCUCCUCGCAGAUCUACAGAUGGGUGCUGAGAGCUGUGGUGGGAUCAUGUACACAGCCAAAGAAAACAGUAGUGGAUUGCAGUACUUGUGAACUCUCUUUCUCUCCUAUCUCUCCGUGUCUCUCUCUCUCGCUCUCUCUAUGACUUCUGCCGACUGCUUUAUUUUACAGUUGCCUAGCAACCCACUGGCAUGUGAUACAAGGCUGAAGCAGAGGUCAGAGUUCACCAUCCUGAAGGCUAAAGAGAAGAAGCUUUUUUCUCACACGUCAUCUGGAUGUUAGGCAUUACUAAGACUGAGCUGAGAGUUCGGCAGAGGAAUAAACAACAGGUGAAGAAAUGCUGAUGCUGAGCCAAAGUCAUCGAGAGCAGAAGACAAACCAGUGUCCGGUCAGACAGAUGGUGCUGCUCCACAAAACCCCACCAAUCAGGCGAGCGAGCGUCAGCUGGGUCACAGUGAGCGACUGAAGGAGAUGAGGGAAAUGGCGACAGUCCAUGAGCGCCAACUGGCCGUGAUACAUGCUCAUAACCAGCAGUUGGAGCAGUACAGAGAUGGUGUGGAGGAAUAAAAUACCAGAAGUUGCUCAAGACUGGUUAUAUCGUUACAUUAUCAACAUACAGAAAGUAACAAACAAAGAUUUAAAGGAUCAUGUCACAUUUGACCUCUGACCUCUCCAUCAAGGUCAAUAGAUUGAUCUGAAAGUCAAAGUUAUAAAAACACUAUAGAGCUAUUUAAAACUAAACUUAGCAGAAAAAGUAUGGAAAUUUGUGUUUGGUGGAUUGUUUCUUUGUUGUAACAAUGUUUAUUGCCUAUGAGUCGUUUGCUGUUGGAAAGCCUGUUUAUUUCCCCUUAAAUGGAGCCACAUUUGUAAGGUGGGUUGAGCAGCAGAGUUGAGUAUGCGGGUUGCGUCCAUGAAAAACUUGCCAGAUCCUCUCUCGCAAUGUCAGACAGCUUAUUCUUUGUUGUGUUGUUUAUUAAAUUGUAUCAUUAAAGUUGGAAGAAAAAAAAGAUAUUGGCCAUUGAUGUACAUAUUUAGUUAACAAGCAUAGGUCUCAGUAACAUGUGGAAGAACCAUGCAGAGCCACAGCAACCUGGCACCUGCUCCUCAUGCUGGUCAUCAGCUCGGUCACAUACUGCUGUGGGAUGUCAUCCCAUUCUUCAACCAGCAACUGUCACAAGUCAGCCAGUGUGGCUGUGCUGGUCACUCUGGCAAAACCGGCC